rnacentral:tRNA from 1 species
GGUGGCGCAACGGUAGCGCCUCUGACUUCAGAUCAGAAGAUCGCGUGUUCAAAUCACGUCAGGGUCA